rnacentral:rRNA from 1 species
CGGGACGGGUGGAGUAACGCGUGGUAACUGCUCAUACAGGGGAGUAACAGUUAGAAAUGACUGCUAAUACCGCAUAAGCGCACAAAACCGACAUGGUUUGGUUGUGAAAAACUAGAGGUGGUAUGAGAUGGACCCGCGUCUGAUUAGCUAGUUGGAGAGGUAACGGCUCACCAAGGCAACGAUCAGUAGCCGACCUGAGAGGGUGACCGGCCACAUUGGGACUGAGACACGGCCCAAACUCCUACGGAAGGCAGCAG